rnacentral:rRNA from 1 species
CGUAGAUAUUAGAAAGAAUACCAAUUGCGAAGGCAGCUUUCUGGAUCAUUACUGACACUGAGGAACGAAAGCAUGGGUAGCGAAGAGGAUUAGAUACCCUCGUAGUCCAUGCCGUAAACGAUGUGUGUUAGACGUUGGAAAUUUAUUUUCAGUGUCGCAGCGAAAGCGAUAAACACACCGCCUGGGGAGUACGACCGCAAGGUUAAAACUCAAAUGAAUUGACGGGGACCCGCACAAGUAGUGGAGCAUGUGGUUUAAUUCGAAGAUACGCGCAGAACCUUACCAACACUUGACAUGUUCGUCGCGACUUUAAGAGAUUAAAGUUUUCGGUUCGGCCGGACGAAACACAGGUGCUGCAUGGCUGUCGUCAGCUCGUGUCGUGAGAUGUUGGGUUAAGUCCCGCAACGAGCGCAACCCUCACUUUUAGUUGCCAUCAUUUAGUUGGGCACUCUGAAAGAACUGCCAGUGAUAAGCUGGAGGAAGGUGGGGAUGACGUCAAGUCCUCAUGGCCCUUACGUGUUGGGCUACACACGUGCUACAAUGGUAUCUACAACAGGAAGCAAAACGGCGACGUUAAGCAAAUCCUUAAAAGAUACCUCAGUUCGGAUUGCACUCUGCAACUCGAGUGCAUGAAGCUGGAAUUACUAGUAAUCGUGGAUCAGCGUGCCACGGUGAAUGCGUUCCCGGGUCUUGUACACACCGCCCGUCACACCAUGGGAGUUGGUUCUACCUUAAGGCAAGGUUUAAAACCCUUGACUACGGUAUAGUCAGCGACUGGGGUGAAGUCGUAACAAGGUAGCCGUAGGGGAACCUGCGGCUG